UACAGGGGUGCAAACGUUGCUCGGAAUCAUUGGGCGUAAAGCGCACGUAGGCGGUUCGUUAUGUCGGAUGUGAAAGCCCUUGGCUUAACCGAGGAAGUGCAUCCGAAACUGGCGAGCUAGAGUACUAAAGAGGAUCGCGGAAUUCCCGGUGUAGAGGUGAAAUUCGUAGAUAUCGGGAGGAACACCGGUGGCGAAGGCGGCGAUCUGGGUAGAUACUGACGCUGAGAUGCGAAAGCGUGGGAGCAAACAGG
rnacentral:rRNA from 1 species